CACAGUUCUGGAAGCUUUGAAGUCCAAGAUGAAGGUGGCAGCAGCUUGAGUGUCUGAAACAAGAAGAAAUGGAAAAUAACUGCAGCACGUUUAUGACAUUCGUUUCUUUCUCCACAUGAAACAUACAAUGAGAACACUUUAUAGAUGAAUUGUGUCUUCGAUUGAAUAGAGAAUGGUGGACUAGCUUUGGUUUUAUGGAAUUGGAUAAUUUGUCAUAGUUUCUGUCCCUGGAAAAAUGAGAACCCAAAGGAAAACAAGUGGAAAGCCUUUAAAAAAUAGUGAUAUAAUACACAGCUGAUAUUUUUGGUUCAUAGAAUACUUUAAAGUACAUCAUUUACAAAGCAAAUUACUAAAUUAUAAGAAAUGCUGUCAUCAUCAAUAAACAUUCACAGAGCUUCAGGUUUUAACACAAAGCAUUCCUCAUAUUUCAGGUGAUAUUAUUUAUGAAAAAAUUACUUGGAGAUUGCUCCAAGGUUAUCACAUUCUUUUCAAACCAUCAAUUCCCUAUUAUUAUUUACUAUUAUUAGUUAUUAUUUAUAAAUACAUAUGAAUACACAAUGAAAGCAUGCUUUAUGUAUAGCAUAUAAAUAUAUUUGAACUUUACUUUCCCCACAUACUAUCUAUCCUGCAAUAUUACACCACCAGUAAAAGAGUAUCUAAAUAUUAAUUGCUCCUAUCACAAUAGUGGAAACUAGAAGAGAUAAGUUUUCCCAAAUCUGAGUAGAAAACCAUGGUUAGCGGAUAUCCAUUUGUCCAUUUACGGAAUUAUAGCAAUAAAAUCCAGCCAAUAAUUUUUAGUUUGCUUAUUAUGUAGUGGCAAAACAUAAUGUCUUUUUCUCACCCAUUACAAGGGUCACAGCUGACAUACCUAUAACAAAAACCAGAUGAACAAGAAAAAUGCAUAAUGUGUUCAUUUAAUAAAGUUUUAAGUGACGUGGGAGCCUUCA
rnacentral:lncRNA from 1 species